rnacentral:rRNA from 1 species
GACGAACGCUGGCGGCGUGCUUAACACAUGCGAGUCGAACGGUAAAGCCCUGCUUUUGUGGGGUGGACGAGUGGCGAACGGGUGAGUAACACGUGAGUAACCUGCCCUUGUCUUUGGGAUAACGCCAGGAAACGGGUGCUAAUACUGGAUAUGAACUGGUCUUCGCUUGGGGGGUGGGGGAAGUGGUGGUGGUGGGGGAGGAUGGGCCGGCUGCUGAUCUGCUUGUUGGGGGGGUAAUGGCCCACGAAGGCGAUGGGGGGUAGCCGGACUGGGAGGGUGGGCGGCCACAUUGGGCCUGAGAUACGGCCCAGGCUCGUACGGGGGGCAGCAGUGGGGAAUAUUGCACAAUGGGAGGAAGCCUGAUGCAGCAACGCCGCGUGCGGGAUGACGGCCUUCGGGUUGUAAACCGCUUUAGCCUGUGACGAAGCGUGAGUGACGGUAAUGGGUAAAGAAGCACCGGCUAACUACGUG